UUUGUGGUGUCUCUCAAUUCUGGAGUGACUGGAGCAAUGAAGUGUUUAUUGAAGCAGAACACUCAGGAAGCUUUUCCAGUUCCCCGAUGCUCAUAUUACUUGUGGUGGUUCUAAACCUGAGUGUGCUUGUCAUUAUAUGUUUGUUGAAAAGGGUGAUAAAGAAAAUGCUCGUACCAGUUCCCGAUCCCCAGAGAAAGUUCCCAGAGUUGUUUGGAAAAUACAACGGUGACUUUCAGCAGUGGCUCGGUUACAAGGAACAGAUCUGGAUAGCGGCUGAGUGCACGACAGCUCCUAUUGAAGAAAACUAAAGUGACUCAAUGUGCAACUCGGUAGCCUGAGGUCGCUGUCCAGUGUGAAGGGCACUGUAUGAAUGCAAGUUGUUGUUGAGAUUGUUUCGUGAGGCCCAAAGUACGGCCUCCAAUGCAAUCCCCACCCUCGGCCCCAACCCACCCAGUGAUUGGGAAAUAGAGGUUCAAUAUUCCCCAAACAAAGGUGUGUUCAGCCAGGAAUCCAGGUCAUAGGUUUAACAGCUGAACCCAACUGGGCAAGUGUGGUAAAUACAGAUUAGGGGGAGGGAGAGAGGGACAGAGACACAGAGACACACAUAUACAAACACUC